rfam:Dipodomys ordii contig_1146, whole genome shotgun sequence.
GGUGGCUCAGUGCUAGAGUGCUUGCCUUGCAUGCAUGAGGCCCUGGGUUCGAUUCCUCAGCACCA